GGCAGGCUUAACACAUGCAAGUCGAGGGGUAACGAUAGUGCUUGCACUAGGCGACGACCGGCGCACGGGUGAGUAACGCGUAUGCAACCUACCUUUAACUGAGGGAUAGCCCAGGGAAACUUGGAUUAAUACCUCAUAACACAUCGAAUUCGCAUGUUUUUGAUGUUAAAGUUCCGGCGGUUAAAGAUGGGCAUGCGUCGUGCCAUUAGAUAGUUGGUGAGGUAACGGCUCACCAAGUCUUCGAUGGCUACGGGGUCUUAAAGGAUGGUCCCGCACACUGGUACUGAGACACGGACCAGACUCCUACGGGAGGCAGCAGUGAGGAAUAUUGGUCAAUGGAGGAAACUCUGAACCAGCCAUGCCGCGUGGAGGAAGACGGCCCUAUGGGUUGUAAACUUCUUUUUUACGGGAAGAAACCUCUCUACGUGUAGAGAGCUGACGGUACCGUAAGAAUAAGCAUCGGCUAACUCCGUGCCAGCAGCCGCGGUAAUACGGAGGAUGCAAGCGUUAUCCGGAUUUAUUAGGUUUAAAGGGUGCGCAGGCGGGAAAAUAAGUCAGCGGUGAAAUCCUACAGCUCAACUGUAGAACUGCCGUUGAUACUGUUUUUCUUGAGUAUAGUUGAGGUAGGCGGAAUGUGUAGUGUAGCGGUGAAAUGCAUAGAUAUUACACAGAACACCGAUUGCGAAGGCAGCUUACUAAACUGUUAUUGACGCUGAUGCACGAAAGCGUGGGUAGCGAACAGGAUUAGAUACCCUGGUAGUCCACGCCGUAAACGAUGAUUACUCGUUGUGUGCGAUACACUGUGCGCGACUGAGCGAAAGCAUUAAGUAAUCCACCUGGGGAGUACGUUGGCAACAAUGAAACUCAAAGGAAUUGACGGGGGCCCGCACAAGCGGAGGAACAUGUGGUUUAAUUCGCUCAUACGCGAGGAACCUUACCUGGGCUUAAAUGUAGAGUGCAUGACUUGGAUAGUCUUUUUCUUCGGAACUAUUUACAAGGUGCUGCAUGGUUGUCGUCAGCUCGUGCCGUGAGGUGUCGGGUUAAGUCCCAUAACGAGCGCAAUCCCUAUCGUUAGUUGCCAUCAGGUAAUGCUGAGGACUCUAGCGAGACUGCCACCGUAAGGUGAGAGGAAGGUGGGGAUGACGUCAAAUCAGCACGGCCCUUAUGUCCAGGGCUACACACGUGUUACAAUGGCAGGUACAAAGGGCAGCUACACAGCAAUGUGAUGCUAAUCUCUAAAGCCUGUCCCAGUUCGGAUUGGAGUCUGCAACCCGACUCCAUGAAGUUGGAUUCGCUAGUAAUCGGAUCUCAGCCACGAUACGGUGAAUACUUCCCCGGGCCUGGACACACCGCCCGUCAAGCCAUGGAAGCUGAGGGUACCUGAAGUCUGUAACCG
rnacentral:rRNA from 1 species